rnacentral:rRNA from 1 species
ACAGCAGCAGCCGCGGUAAUACGUAGGUGGCAAGCGUUGUCCGGAAUUAUUGGGCGUAAAGGGCUCGCAGGCGGUUUCUUAAGUCUGAUGUGAAAGCCCCCGGCUCAACCGGGGAGGGUCAUGGGAAACUGGGAAACUUGAGUGCAGAAGAGGAGAGUGGAAUUCCACGUGUAGCGGUGAAAUGCGUAGAGAUGUGGAGGAACACCAGUGGCGAAGGCGACUCUCUGGUCUGUAACUGACGCUGAGGAGCGAAAGCGUGGGGAGCGAACAGGAUUAGAUACCCCAGUAGUCCCUGUCUCUUAUAC